CCCUGGGCUCCUCCCUUGCUUUGGGGGUGGUGGUUAGUGUGCUGCGAGGAGGGUGUAGCAGCAGGAACAGGGUGGGAAACAAAUGGGAGAUGUGACGGCUACAGAAAGGAUGGAGUUUCUGGAAUCUUUGGUGUGGCCUCCUCUUAAAGAAGACACCUGAUGGUGCCAGGGGAAAAAGGAGAUAUUGCUUCUGUGUUUAUCUGUAUGUGCUCUUGCCUCCACCCUCAACAAUAACUAGAGACCUAACUGAUCGUAGAUCAAUGGUGAGGAGAGGAAGAAUAAUACUCAGACAUAGAGGGAGAAAAGACAUGUGCAGAGGAGAACACAGUGUUAAUUGGGACUUUGCAUUCUGAGG